UUUUGGCCCCUCCUCUUAUGCUAUUAUCUGGAUAUUCACAGCAGCAACCUUGCAUCUUCUUCCUCCUUUCAGCCACAAGAGAAAAGGGAGAAAAAGAAAGGGUGGCGUGGCCUUCUUCUUCCUCUUCCUUGGGUCCAGCGCAGGAGAAAAAGAAAAGGCUGCGAAAGGGCCUUUAGAUCUUCUUCCUUCUUUUUCCUCCUCUCAAGGCAAUCAAAGGUUGAUUCAAAAGGGAGGAUAUCAGCCAUCUAAAGCUAACUCUGCAAGGGAGCUAGCACCCCGGGGAGAUCCAAAGGCUUCGAUCGACUCACUACUUCGUGUGAAUACCCGUAGAGGCCGGACGCGUGUGCGGCUUCCACUGAACCCUCAUCAAAUACCACGUGAAUCAGAUCUGCGGAGACCAUCUACCCGCACAAGAUGAAGAUCUGAUCUUCUUAAUGAUUUUAAAAUGGUUUAAAAUAAUUUAAUUCUAAUCUAUCUACAAACGAAAGGUUUUAUAAUACGUUCAUACGAUGAACGGAUUCCGCAUAUGUUUUUUCGCUGCAAUCUGAAAAUUAUUUCGAAAUUUUCAUUGCAUAUGAGGGAUGCUAACAAUAUGAGGGAUGUAAAAUUCAUUGCUUAUUUGUCUUAAAUACUUAUUGGAACUAUUUUUUUUUAAACCCAAAUUUUUCAUAUGCAUCUCUUUAUAUAUAUAUAUUUUAAAUUUGUUGUCCUUAAACAGAUACAAUUGAGAGUUCAAUUUUGAAAACAAAUUUUGGUAUAAAAAGUGUGAUUCUGCUCUUCAUAUUUAUCAAAACGUAUUUGAUUUCUACUUUACUUACAUAUGUACAAGAUGUUAAGAUCCAGAAAAUUGGAAUGGUGGUGUUUAAAUUUUAUCUCUUUAAAAGUGAAAUUUAAAUAACUAAAGAUAGUAUAGAAUAUAAAACAGAAAAAGCGAACUAAGUAGGAAAGAGUUGGGAUAUUAUUUAGAUAGGUGUGCAAAUAAUUUUUGUUGAGGUUGUCAACUCACAAUUAGGUUAAGUAAUAGGUCAAAAUGGUUAGAUCCAACUAAGUCCAACUGAAUAUUCUAGUUGUCUCAUUUAAAAUGAUUUUUUAAAGAUAAACAAGUGAACUCUAGGGUAUUAAAUCAUAGGACUUGUACUGGACCAAAAGUCUACAUCACAUCUUUUUUUGCAAGGAUAAUAUAUGCAACAUUUUAGCCAAAAAAAAGAUAAUAUAUCUUUUCAUAUUCUUCUUUUUUUUCAUAUGUGAUAUUCCUGUGUUAAACCAACCACACUGCGUGGUGUGUGCUAGUGGUUACAGGGCAAAGGAGAGGGGAGAGAGGGAGGCCGAAGGAGAGGGGAGAGAGGGAGGCCGCCACCCUCUCUUCUUUUUCUUUUUUUAAACCCUAGGCGUGGAGUCCCCCUAAAAACUAGGAGGAGCACCACGCCAAGCCCAAAUAAGGAGGGGCGCAUGCCCCUCCUUUUGCAUGCGUGAAUCCUCCUCUAAGGAGGAUUAGGUGGCCUAAUCCAUUUAGAACAUGACUCAAUUUUGGACUCUAGGACUCUUAAUCCUUAUCUAAUAAGGAGUCCUAUUAUAAUUAGGAUUCUUCAUCCUUAUCUAAUACGGAUCCGAAUCCUUCUUCAAUUAAGAUUUUCAGUCCUAAUCUAAUUAGGACUCUAGGAGUCCUACUCCAAGUAAGACUUAAACCUUAUCUAAUAAGGUCAAGCCCAAUUCAUUUAGUCCAACUGAAUUAAUCAAAUUGCAAUCCUUCUUUCUUCAACUCACGAACUCUUAGUGGGUUAAACCAACUAUCAAUCAAAUUGAUAAUCAUGAUCUAUUGUGAUUCCAAAUCGUAAUCCAACCAUCGGAUCGGUCAAAGCUUCUUAUAUGUGUGACCCCAUAGGUUCUAUUCUGUUUGGU
rnacentral:lncRNA from 1 species